rnacentral:rRNA from 1 species
GCGAACGGGUGAGUAACACGUGGGUAACCUGCCCAUCAGAAGGGGAUAACACUUGGAAACAGGUGCUAAUACCGUAUAACACUAUUUUCCGCAUGGAAGAAAGUUGAAAGGCGCUUUUGCGUCACUGAUGGAUGGACCCGCGGUGCAUUAGCUAGUUGGUGAGGUAACGGCUCACCAAGGCAACGAUGCAUAGCCGACCUGAGAGGGUGAUCGGCCACACUGGGACUGAGACACGGCCCAGACUCCUACGGGAGGCAGCAGUAGGGAAUCUUCGGCAAUGGACGAAAGUCUGACCGAGCAACGCCGCGUGAGUGAAGAAGGUUUUCGGAUCGUAAAACUCUGUUGUUAGAGAAGAACAAGGAUGAGAGUAAAAUGUUCAUCCCUUGACGGUAUCUAACCAGAAAGCCACGGCUAACUACGUGCCAGCAGCCGCGGUAAUACGUAGGUGGCAAGCGUUGUCCGGAUUUAUUGGGCGUAAAGCGAGCGCAGGCGGUUUCUUAAGUCUGAUGUGAAAGCCCCCGGCUCAACCGGGGAGGGUCAUUGGAAACUGGGAGACUUGAGUGCAGAAGAGGAGAGUGGAAUUCCAUGUGUAGCGGUGAAAUGCGUAGAUAUAUGGAGGAACACCAGUGGCGAAGGCGGCUCUCUGGUCUGUAACUGACGCUGAGGCUCGAAAGCGUGGGGAGCGAACAGGAUUAGAUACCCUGGUAGUCCACGCCGUAAACGAUGAGUGCUAAGUGUUGGAGGGUUUCCGCCCUUCAGUGCUGCAGCAAACGCAUUAAGCACUCCGCCUGGGGAGUACGACCGCAAGGUUGAAACUCAAAGGAAUUGACGGGGGCCCGCACAAGCGGUGGAGCAUGUGGUUUAAUUCGAAGCAACGCGAAGAACCUUACCAGGUCUUGACAUCCUUUGACCACUCUAGAGAUAGAGCUUCCCCUUCGGGGGCAAAGUGACAGGUGGUGCAUGGUUGUCGUCAGCUCGUGUCGUGAGAUGUUGGGUUAAGUCCCGCAACGAGCGCAACCCUUAUUGUUAGUUGCCAUCAUUUAGUUGGGCACUCUAGCGAGACUGCCGGUGACAAACCGGAGGAAGGUGGGGAUGACGUCAAAUCAUCAUGCCCCUUAUGACCUGGGCUACACACGUGCUACAAUGGGAAGUACAACGAGUUGCGAAGUCGCGAGGCUAAGCUAAUCUCUUAAAGC